rnacentral:rRNA from 1 species
GAUGAACGCUGGCGGCGUGCCUAAUACAUGCAAGUCGAGCGAACAGACGAGGAGCUUGCUCCUCUGACGUUAGCGGCGGACGGGUGAGUAACACGUGGAUAACCUACCUAUAAGACUGGGAUAACUUCGGGAACCCGGAGCUAAUACCGGAUAAUAUAUUGAACCGCAUGGUUCAAUAGUGAAAGACGGUUUUGCUGUCACUUAUAGAUGGAUCCGCGCCGCAUUAGCUAGUUGGUAAGGUAACGGCUUACCAAGGCGACGAUGCGUAGCCGACCUGAGAGGGUGAUCGGCCACACUGGAACUGAGACACGGUCCAGACUCCUACGGGAGGCAGCAGUAGGGAAUCUUCCGCAAUGGGCGAAAGCCUGACGGAGCAACGCCGCGUGAGUGAUGAAGGUCUUCGGAUCGUAAAACUCUGUUAUUAGGGAAGAACAAAUGUGUAAGUAACUAUGCACGUCUUGACGGUACCUAAUCAGAAAGCCACGGCUAACUACGUG